rfam:Brachypodium distachyon strain Bd21 chromosome 1, whole genome shotgun sequence.
GUUGUACUUCCUCCGUCUAACAAAGGAUGUCUCAAUUUUGACUAAAUUUGAAUGCAUCUAUACACAAAGUCAUGUCUAGAUACAUCAAAAUUGACAAACUUGAGACAUCUUUUGUUGGACGGAGGGAAUACGGU